GCGCGGACCUGUGGGUGCCUGAGAAGGGGUCUGCGGUGUCUGGAUUCAGUUGCCGUCCUCACGGACUGUUGAGUCUGGCUGUGGGGCGUUUUUCUCCAGCCCGUGUUAGGAGAAUCUUUGUCCGAAGGACCUCAGAAUUUGCAGCCCACCCAUUUCGAACUGUAAAAAUAAGGAAACCGCUCCCUAGAGGGGCAAUGAAUUGCCUGAGUAAUGCGGCAGGGCAGUUAAAGAAGUCCUCGGGCUCCCGAGUCAGUGCUCUUCUUUACCCCUGGCUGACUUCCCAGUUAGAUUUAGUAUCUGGUUUUCACCACAUGUGAUGGUUGUUGCAAUUUGCAAAGGUUAAACUUGUCAAACAAGAAGCUUGCUGCAGCGCGAAUACUUGCACCUUAGAAGAGGGAAAAAAUGGAGCAGUUGCCAAGAGCAAGUCAAAUGAAACAAAGAGUCCUCUUCGUGGAAAAGAAAAAAAUACGCUCCCUUUAAAUGGUGGAUUGAAAAUGACUUUGAUUUAUAAAGAGAAGACUGAGGGCGGGGAUACUGAUUCAGAAAUCCUGUAGCGUGUAAUAAAAGAAGAGGAAAUGGCAUGGAAUCACUGCCUCCUGUGAUUUGAAGGCCAUUGUGAAGGAAAACAAUGCAGUGAAAGAAAGUUCUUCAUAUUAGGACAGAUAUCAUUGCAUCACAUUUAUUUAUCUUUCUGGGUAUUUUUAUAGCCCUUAAUAAAAAAUAUUAAAA
rnacentral:sRNA from 1 species